CCGAUCCGCCUAUCUGAGGAAUUAUUCUACUAUGGAAUAUAGAGGUGUGGCAGUUAUAGCGUAAUGUUUUACCAACUGAUGAAAUGAGGUAACCAGGAUAUAAAACAUUUCUGAAUCAAUAAGGUUUUACAAAGACUCAAAUAUGGCCUUUAUUCAUGGUUUACCCUGUCCAAUGCCACAUAGAAGCUCUUCUUGUCAUCCAGGCAAUGCCAGCCAAUGGGUCCAAUCUCACAAUCCGCACAAAUAAGGUA